CCCCUUACCCCUUACCCCUUACCCCUUACCCCUUACUCCGCGGGACCCCACACAGCAACAAUACAAUAUACAGACUUUUAUUUUCCAUAAAAAAAGAGACACUUUUUUUUUCUCUUCUUCCAGAAUACACCAAAUACACUCACGAGACACCAUAUACACACAGGCCAUUUCUCUUUUCUUCAUCCCUGGUCUCACAAAUUGACAACACGGCAAUACACAGCUCUCAUAUACACACUCAACACACACACCGACACACCGUGAUACACAUACACCACUGGAAUACGCACCCACACAGUGAGGUUCGAUGGGGAUCGGGAAACUGAGAGAAAAGGGGGACUCUAUUGUUUUUCCUUUUUCAGUUUUCUCUUGGCAAUACAGACACCCACACAAUUUUGGGGGCUCCAUUUUUUCCUUUUCUUGUUCCCAACAGGCGCACAUAGUUGAGAGAAAGAGCGCAAUGGACUGAAUACGGAAAGGGAAUGAGCGGAAUAGUGAACUGUUUCAGGUUUCAAAUUCCUCAAUACCGAGUUGGAUUUCAUGCUGUGGAGGUUAUCUAUUUGGGGUUUCGAAUUCGGAUUUCUUUAACUUAUUAUUAUCAACAAAAAAUCAAUUAUCAAAAGGUCCAAUUCCAUC